CUAACUGCAGGAGGAUUUGGAGGUGGUUUUUGGUUUGUUGCCGUCACAAGCAGACCUGCCAGAAGCAGCAAGUGCUGAAUCUUGUCCAAAGCUGCACAAACAGGAUUCUGAGAUAAAGACCUUGGGCAUCUACAAAGUGGACGUGUA